CCUACGGGUGGCUGCAGUAGGGAAUAUUGGGCAAUGCCCGCAAGGGUGACCCAGCCAUGCCGCGUGCAGGAAGAAGGCCUUCUGGGUUGUAAACUGCUUUUGGAAGGGAACAAAAUGGGUAUGCGUACCAACUUGAGUGUACCUUCAGAAUAAGCACCGGCUAACUCCGUGCCAGCAGCCGCGGUAAUACGGAGGGUGCAAGCGUUGUCCGGAUUUAUUGGGUUUAAAGGGUGCGUAGGCGGCUUAUUAAGUCAGGGGUGAAAGACUAUUGCUUA
rnacentral:rRNA from 1 species